UACAGAGGUCUCAAGCGUUGUUCGGAUUCAUUGGGCGUAAAGGGUGCGUAGGCGGCGCGGUAAGUCGGGUGUGAAAUUUCGAGGCUUAACUUCGAAACUGCAUUCGAUACUGCCGUGCUUGAGGACUGGAGAGGAGACUGGAAUUUACGGUGUAGCGGUGAAAUGCGUAGAGAUGUGGAGGAACACCGAUGGCGAAGGCAGCCCCCUGGGAUGACACUGACGCUCAGGCACGAAAGCGUGGGGAGCAAACAGG
rnacentral:rRNA from 1 species